AUUGAACGCUGGCGGCAGGCCUAACACAUGCAAGUCGAGCGGAUGAAGGGAGCUUGCUCCUGGAUUCAGCGGCGGACGGGUGAGUAAUGCCUAGGAAUCUGCCUGGUAGUGGGGGAUAACGUCCGGAAACGGGCGCUAAUACCGCAUACGUCCUGAGGGAGAAAGUGGGGGAUCUUCGGACCUCACGCUAUCAGAUGAGCCUAGGUCGGAUUAGCUAGUUGGUGGGGUAAAGGCCUACCAAGGCGACGAUCCGUAACUGGUCUGAGAGGAUGAUCAGUCACACUAGAACUGAAACACGGUCCAGACUCCUACGGGAGGCAGCAGUGGGGAAUAUUGGACAAUGGGCGAAAGCCUGGUCCAGCCAUGCCGCGUGUGUGAAGAAAGUCUUCGGAUUGUAAAGCACUUUAAGUUGGGAGGAAGGGCAGUAAGUUGAUACCUUGCUGUUUUGACGUUACCAACAGAAUAAGCACCGGCUAACUUCGUG
rnacentral:rRNA from 1 species